CCUACGGGAGGCUGCAGUAAGGAAUAUUGGACAAUGCCCGCAAGGGUGAUCCAGCCAUGCCGCGUGCAGGAAGACGGCCCUAUGGGUUGUAAACUGCUUUUGUACGGGAGAAAACCCCUCUUCGUGAAGAGGGCUGAUAGUACCGUAAGAAUAAGCAUCGGCUAACUUCGUGCCAGCAGCCGCGGUAAGACGAAGGAUGCAAGCGUUAUCCGGAUUCAUUGGGUUUAAAGGGAGCGUAGGUGGCCUUGUAAGUCAGUGGUGAAAUCCUGUAGCUUAACUAUAGAAUUGCCAUUGAUACUGCAGGGCUUGAGUACAGUUGCCGUUGGCGGAAUAUGACAUGUAGUGGUGAAAUACAUAGAUAUGUCAUAGAACACCGAUUGCGAAGGCAGCUGACGAAACUGUAACUGACACUGAGGCUCGAAAGUGUGGGGAUCAAACAG
rnacentral:rRNA from 1 species